rnacentral:rRNA from 1 species
GACGAACGCUGGCGGCGUGCCUAAUACAUGCAAGUCGAACGCAGUGGGGACGGGUGAGUAACACGUGGGUAACCUCCCAUCAGAGGGGAUAACACUUGGAAACAGGUGCUAAACCGAUACUGAUGGAUGGACCCGCGGUGCAUUAGCUAGUUGGUGAGGUAACGGCUCACCAAGGCCACGAGGCAUAGCCGAGCUGGGAGGGGGAUCGGCCACACUGCAAAUGAGCUACGGACCAGACUCGUCCGUGAGGCAGCGGUAGGGAAUCUUCGGCAAUGGACGAAAGUCUGACCGAGCAACGCCGCGUGAGUGAAGAAGGUUAGCGUAUCGUAAACCUCUGUUGUUAGAGAAGCGGUAUCUAACCAGAAAGCCACGGCUAACUACGUGCCAGCAGCCGCGGUAAUUC